rnacentral:rRNA from 1 species
CCGUGCCAGCAGCCGCGGUAAUACGGAGGGUGCGAGCGUUAAUCGGAAUUACUGGGCGUAAAGCGCAUGCAGGCGGCGUUGUUAAGUCAGAUGUGAAAGACCCGGGGCGUUAACCUCGGAAUUGCAUUUGAAACUAGGCAGGCUAGAGUCUUGUAGAGGGGGGUAGGAAGUUUCAGGUGUAGCGGUGAAAUGCGUAGAGAUCUGAAGGAAUACCAGUGGCGAAGGCGGCCCCCCUCGGACAAAGACUGACGCUCAGAUGCGAAAGCGUGGGGAGCAAACAGGAUUAGAUACCCUGGUAG